rnacentral:rRNA from 1 species
GAUGAACGCUGGCGGCGUGCCUAAUACAUGCAAGUCGAGCGAACAGACGAGGAGCGUGCUCCUCUGACGUUAGCGGCGGACGGGUGAGGAACACGUGGAUAACCGACCUAUAAGACUGGGAUAACUUCGGGAAACCGGAUCUAAUACCGGAUAAGAUAUUGAACCGCAGGGUUCAAUAGUGAAAGAGGGUUUUGCUGUCACUUAUAGAGGGAUCCGCGCCGCAUUAGCUAGUUGGUAAGGUAACGGCCUACCAAGGCAACGAUGCGUAGCCGACCUGAGAGGGUGAUCGGCCACACUGGAACUGAGACACGGUCCAGACUCCUACGGGAGGCAGCAGUAGGGAAUCUUCCGCAAUGGGCGAAAGCCUGAUGGAGCCACGCCGCGUGAGUGAUGAAGGUCUUCGGAUCGUAAAGCUCUGUUAUUAGGGAAGAACAAAUGUGUAAGUAACUCUGCCCGUCUUGACGGUACCUAAUCAGAAAGCCCCGGCUAACUACGUG